rnacentral:rRNA from 1 species
AUGAAACGGCCGCCACCACGCGAUGAAGCGGCGGCGGCGGGCAGCAGCGGAGGAGGGUUCAACAAGGGAAAGGGGAGGUGGGGCGGGAAGAAGCGGAACGAGCAGCGGCUGGGAGGCAGCGGCGGGGCGCUCUCCCUCGCGGCCUUCGCCAACGCCAAGUCCAGGAACACCGGCUACAACCCGGCACUCAUCAAGAAGCAGAAGGAGUUCUACAGGAAUGCUAAAUUGAUUAGCAAGUACAAGAAGUCGAAGAAGCACCAAAAUCAGUCAAACUAUCCUCCACUUCCAACCCCUGAGGAAGGAGGUGCUGAUGCAUCGGAUGUGCCAAAACCACAUGAUAAGAGGAAGAAGCGCACUUCACAAAGCUUGAAUGUGGAGUACGAGAAGAAACGUGUAGAGGAUGAGAAGGCAAAGAAGGAGCGGGAUGCGAUGAUACAGGCCAAGAAGGAGGAGCGAGAGAAGUCUGAAGCGAAGAGAAAGGAGCUUAGGGAGAAGAUGUUCAAGAGGACACGAUCCGGGCAGCCUGUGAUGAAAUACAGGAUCGAGCAUCUCUUGGAGACUGCACUAGAAAGCUCAAACAAGAGCCAAGGCUAG